rnacentral:lncRNA from 1 species
GGAGCAUGCUACUAAUGCUUUUAGAAUGCAAGGUGAAACCUGGAAGGUUGUCUCUGCCAAUCUUCUUUAUAUAUCUUUGUAUGGCUAAAUUCCCUUUUCCUAACUGCCAUGAGAAUGAUUCGGUUCUACGCUGUUCCCUGGACUACUGUGACUGUGAUCUGCAAAAGAGCUAGAGAGUUUGCAGAUAAUUAAAGCCAGAAUUCUGCCUGGUUGGGUAACCAUGAGUUUUUGUGCUUGCACAGUCUUCGUUUUCAAAAGCAUUGUCUGUUUUGUGCUGACAGUGAAGCCAUCUCAGAAGGUGAACCUGGGAAAAUUCAGGUAUUCUCUGAUUCUCUGGAAGGAAAAGGGUAAUGGAAACUUGCAGAAGAACAGUAGAUCUAAUGAGAGGAAGAGUGAGGAAAUGAAGGAUCUGAUGAUUGCAAAGCAUCUUUAAAAGCCCAUUUGGGAACAUGACAAUUUAGAAAAUGGAAAAUGCAUUCCUUAGCUUCAUUUCACUUCAGUUACGGCUUUACAAUAUUACCCAUGAGAUAAUACUUCAGUGCUCCUGUUUUUUGUUUGCCACUCUCAGUCACCUCUAUAGAUAAGUCUAGGAGCUCAGGGUAUUUGUGCAUCAUCGUACUGUCUGCCUCACUCCUUCCCACUCCCAAAUUGGAUUAAGUCCAUCACAGCUAAAGGAAGGAAUGGAGCAUGAGUCAUCUACUGUACUAAAUUUGGCAGAGCACUAUUAAGUGCUAUAGGAUUUGUCCAGCAAAUGAUCUUCGGAUGCAGCCUGUUUUAAGGGCUUCCAUGUCAGUAAGUGUGCUAAUGAAACUGUAAGUAAUGAAUAACAAGAUCCUUUUAGAAUUUCCAGUAACAGAUAUUCCUUUGUUUAUUUUGUUUGGGGCUUGGGGAUGGAUCCUGGUGGCAUUAUUCAUAAUGCUUCUUUGAUUCAAAUGCGGCAAAGCACUAGGUGGGAUGCCAAUCCUUGAUGCCCUCCUUGGAAAUUUCUUUCUGUGCAGUAAUGUUAGCAUAUAAACUAGUGUCAUUUGGUUAUCAAAAGGGCUAUUUCCAAUUUCUUAUGAGAGACUAUGAGAGAAAAAAUAUUUUCUAUCUCAAGUCAUUAUCCCAAGACAUGGGCAGGAUUUCUCCAGUAGGAGGCAGCUAGUCUUUGACUUGAAAAUGAACAGAACUUCACUGGAGUGGAAAGGGACUGCAUAUUCAGAAACACAGAUUAUUACUUUAGAAAUACUGUAUGAGGCUGCUUUUCCCAUUAGCAGUCAAGGACUCAUUUCUCCUCCUGUGUUGAUAAGCAUCUGCUGAAGAGGUAGAGCAUCAGGGUAGCCUCUACCUUUUCGUUUGUUUUUGCAAUAAUGCAAAUUUCCAUCAUGUUGAAGACAAAUAGAAGGUCCUAACAUUCAUGCCCAAAUUUUCUUUUAGUCCUUUAGCUGUUUAUCCUUACCCUUGUUUCCCCUUGACCCCUUCGUUCAAGAUGUUAGCUCCCCUUGACACAAAGCCAAGUGUCUAUCUCAGCUUUUAAUAGUCUAGUUAUGUCUACUCUUAUACAGUGUACUGUAUGGGAGAGACAACUAGGGUAGCUUUACAUUAGCUCAUUUGGAUGUGUAGGGCAGAAUAAUAUAAUGCACUGCAUAGAGCACAGGACCCCACCCCUCUUUCUCAAAUCCUACUUGCUACAUUUUUUUCACCAGUUAAAUCUCCAUAUAGAAUAAUUAGGGAUGGAGCCAGUGUUGUCACCCUUCUCUAAGACAGAUUGUUGAUUGAGGUUAGGUACUUUCUCUUCUGAGGAGUGAGAUGUUCAAGAUUUUACCCUGGAAAAUUAAAAAAAGAAUACUGCCUUUUUUAAAAUCUUUUCAGUGACCAAAAUGAUGAUUAAUUAGCACAUAUAUAUGCUACCAGGAAUUAGGUUGGUAGCUGCUCCACUACGUCUUAUUUUAAGGUAACUGUUCAACUGUGUCUUAAUUUAAGUGUGAUAUAAUGUUAUACACACAAUGUCAGCAAGUAAAUAUUUAAGAAAUGUUGCUAUGAAUAAUUGUGGUGAAUACAUUAGGCUGUACUUAGGGUCUCCUGGAAGAAUUCCUGAAAACAUUGUUCCUUGAGACCAUGUCUUGCAAACCACGCAAGACACAGUCUUCUAUAAUAUAUCAAAAAGACAAAUGUGCUAAUAUCGGAGAAUAAAAUACAGUUCAGUGAGAUCUUAAUUUCCA